GAAUUUUGGACAAUGGGCGAAAGCCUGAUCCAGCAAUGCCGCGUGCAGGAUGAAGGCCUUCGGGUUGUAAACUGCUUUUGUCCGGAACGAAAAGCUUUGGGUUAAUACCCUGGCGUCAUGACGGUCCCGUAAGAAUAAGCACCGGACAACUACGUCCCAGCAGCCGCGGUAGUACGGAGGGUGCAAGCGUUAAUCGGAAUUACUGGGCGUAAAGCGUGAGCGGGCGGUGUUGUAAGACAGAGGUGAAAGCCCCGGGCGCAACCUAGGAACUGCGUUUGUGACAGCAAGUCUAGAGUACGGCAGAGGGGGGUGGAAUUCCGCGUGUAGCAGUGAAAUGCGUAGAUAUGCGGAGGAAAACCGAUGGCGAAGGCAACCCCCUGGGCCUGUACUGACGCUCAUGCACGAAAGCGUGGGGAGCAAACAG
rnacentral:rRNA from 1 species